GCGGAUGUGGUGGAAUGGUAGACACGCUAGUUUUAGGAACUAGUGCCGCAAGGCGUGGAGGUUCAAGUCCUCUCAUCCGUACCA
rnacentral:tRNA from 1 species